rnacentral:rRNA from 1 species
UACGUAGGGUGCAAGCGUUGUCCGGAAUUAUUGGGCGUAAAGAGCUCGUAGGUGGCCUGUCGCGUCGGCUGUGAAAACUCGGGGCUCAACUCCGAGCUUGCAGUCGAUACGGGCAGGCUAGAGUUCGGCAGGGGAGACUGGAAUUCCUGGUGUAGCGGUGAAAUGCGCAGAUAUAGGAGGAACACCGGUGGCGAAGGCGGGUCUCUGGACCGUAACUGACGCUGAGGCGCGAAAGCGUGGGGGAGCAAACAGG